AUACGUAGGUGGCAAGCGUUAUCCGGAAUUAUUGGGCGUAAAGCGUGCGUAGGCGGUUUAUUAAGUCUGAUGUUAAAUCCCACAGCUCAACUGUGGGCUGCCAUUGGAAACUGGUAGACUUGAGUGCGGUAGAGGUAAGUGGAAUUCCCAGUGGAGCGGUGGAAUGCGUAGAUAUUUGGAGGAACACCAGUGGCGAAGGCGGCUUACUGGGCCGUUACUGACGCUGAGGCACGAAAGCGUGGGGAUCAAACAGGAUUAGAUACCCUGGUAGUCCACGCAGUAAACGAUGAUGACUAACCGUCGGUCAAGACUGAUCGGUGGCCAAGCGAAAGCGAUAAGUCAUCCACCUGGGGAGUACGACCGCAAGGUUGAAACUCAAAGGAAUUGACGGGG
rnacentral:rRNA from 1 species